CGAGGGAUCAGACCCGAAACCGAGUGAUCUAGGCAUGUCCAGGAUGAAGGUAAGGUAACACUUACUGGAGGUCCGAACCCACAUCUGUUGAAAAAGAUCGGGAUGAGGUGUGCCUAGGGGUGAAAGGCCAAUCAAACUCGGAGAUAGCUGGUUCUCUGCGAAAUCUAUUUAGGUAGAGCGUCGUCUGAAUACCCUCGGGGGUAGAGCACUGAAUGGGUAAUGGGGGCCCACAGCCUUACUGAUCCUAAUCAAACUCCGAAUACCGAGGAGUACUAGACGGCAGACACACAGCGGGUGCUAACGUCCGUCGUGGAGAGGGAAACAACCCUGACCUACAGCUAAGGCCCCUAAUUCAUGGCUAAGUGGGAAAGCAGGUGGGACGACCAAAACAACCAGGAUGUUGGCUUAGAAGCAGCCAUCAUUUAAAGAAAGCGUAAUAGCUCACUGGUCGAGUCGGUCCGCGCGGAAGAUGUAACGGGGCUAAGCGAUGUACCGAAGCUGCGGGUGCAUAGCAAUAUGCGCGGUAGAGGAGCGUUCCGUAAGCCUGCGAAGGUGACUCGUAAGGGUUGCUGGAGGUAUCGGAAGUGCGAAUGCUGA
rnacentral:rRNA from 1 species